rnacentral:rRNA from 1 species
GACGAACGCUGGCGGCGUGCCUAAUACAUGCAAGUAGAACGCACAGUUUAUACCGUAGCUUGCUACACCAUAGACUGUGAGUUGCGAACGGGUGAGUAACGCGUAGGUAACCUGCCUGGUAGCGGGGGAUAACUAUUGGAAACGAUAGCUAAUACCGCAUAAUAUUAAUUAUUGCAUGAUAAUUGAUUGAAAGGUGCAAUUGCACCACUACCAGAUGGACCUGCGUUGUAUUAGCUAGUAGGUGAGGUAACGGCUCACCUAGGCGACGAUACAUAGCCGACCUGAGAGGGUGAUCGGCCACACUGGGACUGAGACACGGCCCAGACUCCUACGGGAGGCAGCAGUAGGGAAUCUUCGGCAAUGGACGAAAGUCUGACCGAGCAACGCCGCGUGAGUGAAGAAGGUUUUCGGAUCGUAAAGCUCUGUUGUAAGAGAAGAACGGGUGUGAGAGUGGAAAGUUCACACUGUGACGGUAUCUUACCAGAAAGGGACGGCUAACUACGUGCCAGCAGCCGCGGUAAUACGUAGGUCCCGAGCGUUGUCCGGAUUUAUUGGGCGUAAAGCGAGCGCAGGCGGUUAGAUAAGUCUGAAGUUAAAGGCUGUGGCUUAACCAUAGUACGCUUUGGAAACUGUUUAACUUGAGUGCAGAAGGGGAGAGUGGAAUUCCAUGUGUAGCGGUGAAAUGCGUAGAUAUAUGGAGGAACACCGGUGGCGAAAGCGGCUCUCUGGUCUGUAACUGACGCUGAGGCUCGAAAGCGUGGGGAGCGAACAGG